rnacentral:misc_RNA from 1 species
AAAGUCGUAACAAGGUUUCCGUAGGUGAACCUGCGGAAGGAUCAUUACAGAGUUCAUGCCCUUUGGGGUAGAUCUCCCACCCUUGUGUAUCAUUAUAGAAUGUUGCUUUGGCGGGCCGCACGCCUGGCGUGCCUGGAUUCGCGUCCAGCGUGCCCGCCAGAGGACCCCUAAACUCUGAAUGUUAGUGUCGUCUGAGUACUAUUAAAUAGUUAAAACUUUCAACAACGGAUCUCUUGGUUCUG